GAGAGAGAGAGAGAGAGAGAGAGAGAGAGAGAGAGAGAGAAAUUCACAACAGUUUUUAACUCUGAGUUGAAACUGGUGUGUUAUUUAGGAUAACAGUGACAACCCAGUCUCCACUUCAAAUCACAUAUUGUGAUUCCUCAGGAAUACCCAUGGCUCAUCUUGGAUCAAGGGCAGAACUUUGAACCUUUUGGGAAGAUUUCUGCCUGUGACACUCUCUCUCUCUCUCUCUCUCUCUCUCUCUCACAC